rnacentral:rRNA from 1 species
UACGUAGGGGGCAAGCGUUGUCCGGAAUCAUUGGGCGUAAAGAGCGUGUAGGCGGCUCGGUAAGUCCGCUCUGAAAGCCCGGGGCUCAACCCCGGGAGGCGGGCGGAUACUGUCGGGCUAGAGUCCGGAAGAGGCGAGUGGAAUUCCUGGUGUAGCGGUGAAAUGCGCAGAUAUCAGGAGGAACACCAAUGGCGAAGGCAGCUCGCUGGGACGGUACUGACGCUGAGACGUGAAAGCGUGGGGAGCAAACAGG